CGGGAAGUUGGGACCAGCUGGCUUGUGGGUAUCCAGGUGCUGAGGACAUUAGCGUGGUAACACGUGCCUCAUUUGUACAGAUUCCCUAACGAGGGACCCGAUAACAACACACAACAUCUCUGACCAAUGGUCAUUCCCAGAUAGGCUUGGACACUGAUGAACGGACACUGAUACUGACCAAUCAUCACCCGUGCACCUUGAAAAGUUACAUCACGGCGUGUUAGCUUCAUGUGGGAAGAAGGCCAAAGUGGCGUGCAUCGAAGACGUGUACCACCCACGAACAUGGAAAAUGUGACGAAAGCCCCCAACCUCAGUGAGAUCUGCUCACCGAAUUACGAAGCCUCGUUGAGGGCAUACAUGGAAACCAGCCGUUAACGCCUGUGCCGAUGUGAUUCACUUACAAUAGAGUCAAGAGCUACCAUGUCUGGCAGAAACUGGGAAUGAAAUAACAUGGUAAUUCCGUGCAUUUAGACGCAGUGAGUGAUGUCAAUAAAAAUCCCACAUUUUGUAAUAACCACAUCAA